rnacentral:snoRNA from 1 species
UUUCCUGCUGGUGUGUUCAAAAGACAGUGCAAUAGAAAUUCACUAUCUGGCAUCGUUGGUUUCUUGGCUUUGUGCAUGUUAAACCUGGUAUUUCUAAUGAUACAGUU